GUGCUCGCUGUGGCAGCACAUAUACUAAAACUGUAACAAUAUAGAGAUUAGCAUGGCCCCUGCGCAAGGACGACGUGCAAAUUUGUGAAGCGUUCCGUGUUUUA
rnacentral:snRNA from 1 species